rnacentral:rRNA from 1 species
GGUGUGGAUAGGGGAGAAAUUCCAAUCGAACCCGGAGAUAGCUGGUUCUCCUCGAAAUAGCUUUAGGGCUAGCCUCGUAUUAGUUUAGCGGAGGUAGAGCACUGAAUUUCCUAGGGGGCGUCAAAGUCUACCGAAGAAUAUCAAACUCCGAAUGCCGCAUAAAUGAUGUACGGGAGUCAGACUGCACGAGAUAAGUUGGGUAGUCAAAAGGGAAAGAGCCCAGACCUACAGCUAAGGUCCCAAAGUGUGUGUUAAGUGGAAAAGGAUGUGGGAUUUCGAAGACAACUAGGAUGUUGGCUCAGAAGCAGCCAUUCAUUCAAAGAGUGCGUAAUAGCUCACUAGUCGAGAGGUCCUGCGCCGAAAAUGUCCGGGGCUAAACACUACACCGAAGCUGAGGAAUGACAAUGUCAUUGGUAGAGGAGCAUUCUUAACUGCGACGAAGCUGUACCGAAAGGAGCAGUGGAGUGUUAAGAAGAGAGAAUGCCGGAAUGAGUAGCGAGAGUGAGGUGAGAAUCCUCACGGCCGAAUAUCUAAGGUUUCCAGGGUAAAGCUGAUCUGCCCUGGGUAAGUCGGGACCUAAGGCGAGGUCGAAAGACGUAGUCGAUGGACAACAGGUUGAAAUUCCUGUACUGCAAUGUAUCAGAAAUGUGGGGACACAGACAGAGAGCCGGAGCCGGGAAUGGAGAAACCGGUGCAAGCGAGGUAGGAGAACAGCAGGCAAAUCCGCUGUUCAAUUUGAAGACGUGACGCGGAGCGAAAUUAAAGUAGCGAAGCCGGUGAGCUGGCUGUCAGGAAAAGCCGCUAUUGUGUACAUUGUACCCGUACCGUAAACCGACACAGGUGGAUGAGGAGAGAAUCCUAAGGCCGACGGAAGAAGCAUUGUUAAGGAACUCGGCAAAAUGACCCCGUAACUUCGGGAUAAGGGGUGCCUACGAAGGUAGGCCGCAGAGAAUUGGCCCAAGCAACUGUUUAGCAAAAACACAGGUCUAUGCGAAACCGUAAGGUGAUGUAUAUGGGCUGACGCCUGCCCGGUGCUGGAAGGUUAAGAGGAGAGGUUAGAGCAAUCGAAGCUUUGAAUUGAAGCCCCAGUAAACGGCGGCCGUAACUAUAACGGUCCUAAGGUAGCGAAAUUCCUUGUCGGGUAAGUUC